rnacentral:lncRNA from 1 species
CUUUUAUUAAACAUCAAUAUGAAAUACUUUACUACCUAUGAUAACUAACACGAUAUUUUACUGGUAUAUAAAUCUAAAUAUUUUGUCCAUAUAUUUGUUAUUACUUGAUUCUUAAUCACUACAUGCACUAGUUAACCUAAUAAAACAAACAAUGACUGCAUCCCACUAUAAUUCUAUAACUCAACUUUGAUAAUGCUCACUUUGUUAUAUGACGAAUACAAAUUUACAUAAAGUCCUCAAUUUAGCUAAAGUUCAUAAUCAUAUUGCAAGGACUUGGAUAUAUUUACAAAAAAGACAAAAAACACGUUUCCAUUUGAAAUGGUCAGACCAGCCAUGCUGGGCACAAUUUCUCUCUCUUAUAACCAUUAAUUAAGCUGCAAUAUGCCAAAAUGCGCCCUACUUUAGUAUUUUACUCUGUGUAACGCCAGAUGAAUUUACUCGUCAAGGGGAGAGUCUUGCAUACUAUAACGGGUUAUAAUUUCAAGCAAGAUCUGGGCCAAGUUUUCGCACGUCUGAUCAAAAUGGACCUCGUGUUGAUUUGAUGUAAAUUUUUCCGUCAGGCCAAUCUCGGAAGCGAAAGUUUUGUAUUCCAUUUAAUGGAUCUAAUCAGUCUGACAAUGUUAUUAGAGAAAUUCAGAUUUGACAAGCGAAACAGUUUUUAUUUCGGGGUGGAGGGUGCAAAAAACAUUCCGGACCUAACAUACUUUCCUACCAGAUAUUUUUAAUAUUUCCUGAAUUGUUCACUGAUGAUAUUUUCAUCUUUCCUGAAUUUUUCCAAUUUUUUAUAUUAAAUUCAAAAUUUUGAAUCUCAUCCGUUUUUUUUUGUUUUUUUUUGGGGGGGGUGGGUAGGGCUUAGCCCUCUACUUUUAAUUUUGGAGGCCUAUAAACCCCCUAGCACCAUGUUCCGCUGUCCAUGGUGCAUUUUAGCAAAUUUAGAUGAAGUGUUUAAUUUGACUAUAUCUACAGUCGUAUUGUUAACGAGUAGUUCUUGUGGUAAGAAGUUACGUUUAUAAAGAAAGCUUCACAUUGAUAGGAAUACAACUACCUGAAAAUACAAGACGAAGUGCCUUCGCUCGAAACCUCGUUGUUCUCCUUGUAUUUUUCAGGUAGUUGUAUCCCUAUCAAUCCAAGACUUUGUUAUUAUUGCCACUACCUACACUGACAAAGAUCGUUUAGGUUUACAAAGACAAUAAAGUCUUUCAUUUGACUAUACAUUGUCAUGGAUGAUGCGUACUUUGUUAUUUGCAUAACUCAAAUCCACAUUCAGUCUCCAGGUUUGUGACUUGGGUAUUUCGAUGUGAAAUUGUUGACCAGUGGGCAAAUGUAGUGACAGCUUGGCAGCAUCGCAAUCCAAGACUAACUCAACCGUGUCGCCUUGUUUAGUGACAUUUUUUAAAGCAUUAUCAAUCGUAUGUGACCCGUCUUUCCAUACUAUACCAUGCUGCCCGAGUCCCCAUCCAUAAGAACCAGGCCAUUUAUAUGAAUUGUUAUUCGGUGGUACAACAUCCCCUUUUACUAUUCCAACCAACAUCCAUUCAUUACUUUUAAGCGACUCCACCUUCAACCUGAAACGAACAAUGCCUUGUUGGUAAAUAUUUUCUCCCAGAACAUAACUAUGCCCAUAAUUUGGACCAUGAGCUGCAACUGUCCCGCCUUCCUGAAGAGUAACUAUAUUGCUGCUGUGUUGAUUGAAUUUCUCGCUAGGCACUUUUUCAGCGGGCACAAUUUCAUCGCUUAAACCGAGGUAUUCCAGAAGAGUAUUAAAACUUUUUGCUUGCUCUUCGGGGACUUUCGGCAAUGGCGUGGGAUUCUCUGGUGUCGCAAUUUUCUUCGUGCGCAGGUAAUCCAAUAUAACAAGAAAAUACUGGGGAUUGAAAUCGAAAAAUAUGGUACCAUCUUGAUCGCGCUCGAGACUGUCCUCCCAACGUCCACUGAACAUUGAGGCGAGCACCGAACCUUCUACUUGACAAAGAGUAGAUCUCUUGGUGGUUAAUUUGUGACCACCAACGUUGAGGUGUAUGAUAUCGUUGUCGCUGACUUCGACGGCUUUCAUUCUUUGCUUCUCUGCGUUGUAAGCGUCUAGUUCCGCUUUCAUUUUGGCUCGCUCCCCUUCAAUAAUAUCGUUGAAUUCGUUCCUGAAUCGCUUUACCAAGUCAUCGAAUUUUGUUAAUAAAUCUUCACUGCUCAUAGUGAAUACACUGAGAAUGAUUUUGAGUUUGAUAAAUGACGCCAACUGAACACAACUUUAAAUGUACGUAACGAGAGAACAAGGCAAGGUCGUAUUCCUUGUAAAAGCA